rnacentral:rRNA from 1 species
CCUACGGGUGGCAGCAGUGGGGAAUAUUGCGCAAUGGGCGCAAGCCUGACGCAGCGACGCCGCGUGAGGGAAGAAGGCUUUCGGAUUGUAAACUUCUUUUCUCAGGGACGAACCAAGUCACGGUUCCUGAGGAAUAAACCACGGCUACCUGCGUGCCAGAAGCCGCGGUAAUACGUAGGGGGCACGCGUUAGCCGGAUUUACUGGGUGUAAAGGGCGUGUAGGCGGGGACGCAAGUCAGAGGUGAAAGCCAUGGGCUCAACCUGUGGACUGCAUUUGAAACUGUGUAUCUUGAGUACGGGAGAGGCAGACGGAAUUCCGAGUGUAGCGGUGAAAUGCGUAGAUAUUAGGAGGAACAUCAGUGGCGAAGGCG